GUCCACGCUGUAAACGAUGGGCGCUAGGUGUGGGGGGUUUUUAAUCCCUCCGUGCCGCAGCUAACGCAUUAAGCGCCCCGCCUGGGGAGUACGGCCGCAAGGUUAAAACUCAAAGGAAUUGACGGGGGCCCGCACAAGCGGUGGAGCAUGUGGUUUAAUUCGACGCAACGCGAAGAACCUUACCUGGGCUUGACAUGUGGGGAAUCUCACGGAAACGUGGGAGUGCGUAGCAAUACGAGCCCCAGCACAGGUGCUGCAUGGCUGUCGU
rnacentral:rRNA from 1 species